CUACGGGUGGCAGCAGUGAGGAAUAUUGCACAAUGGGGGGAACCCUGAUGCAGCAACGCCGCGUGGAGGAUGACGCAUUUCGGUGUGUAAACUCCUUUUAUAUGUCAAGAAAAUGACGGUAGCAUAUGAAUAAGCACCGGCUAACUCCGUGCCAGCAGCCGCGGUAAUACGCGAGGGUGCAAGCGUUACUCGGAAUCACUGGGCGUAAAGGAAGCGUAGGCGGGUUGGAAAGUCAGGUGUGAAAUCCUACAGCUUAACUGUAGAACUGCACUUGAAACUUCUAAUCUAGAGUAUGGGAGGGGGAGAUGGAAUUAGUGGUGUAGGGGUAAAAUCCGUAGAUAUCACUAGGAAUACCUAAAGCGAAGGCGAUCUGCUGGAACAUUACUGACGCUAAGGCGUGAAAGCGUGGGGAGCAAACAGGAUUAGAUACCCCAGUAGUC
rnacentral:rRNA from 1 species